rnacentral:rRNA from 1 species
ACAUGCCUUUGCGUGGGGGAUAACUAUUGGAAACGAUAGCUAAUACCGCAUGAUGUCUACGGACCAAAGAGGGCUUCGGCUCUCGCGCAAAGAGUGGCCUAAGCGAGAUUAGCUUGUUGGUGAGGUAAAGGCUCACCAAGGCGACGAUCUCUAGCUGUUCUGAGAGGAAGAUCAGCCACACUGGAACUGAGACACGGUCCAGACUCCUACGGGAGGCAGCAGUGGGGAAUAUUGCACAAUGGGGGCAACCCUGAUGCAGCCAUGCCGCGUGUGUGAAGAAGGCCUUCGGGUUGUAAAGCACUUUCAGUUGUGAGGAAAGGUUAAUGGUUAAUACCCAUUAGCUGUGACGUUAGCAACAGAAGAAGGACCGGCUAACUCCGUGCCAGCAGCCGCGGUAAUACGGAGGGUCCGAGCGUUAAUCGGAAUUACUGGGCGUAAAGCGCACGCAGGCGGUUUGUUAAGCUAGAUGUGAAAGCCCCGGGCUCAACCUGGGAAUUGCAUUUAGAACUGGCAGGCUAGAGUCUUGGAGAGGGGAGUGGAAUUCCAGGUGUAGCGGUGAAAUGCGUAGAUAUCUGGAGGAACAUCAGUGGCGAAGGCGACUCCCUGGCCAAAGACUGACGCUCAUGUGCGAAAGUGUGGGUAGCGAACAG